AGAUUUCAGGAGACCUGGGGGAAGUGAUCUUCAUCUUCCAACAUGUACUAAGGCAUAGCCUGAGAGAGAGAGAGAGAGAGAGAGAGAGAGAGAGAGAGAGAGAGAGGGUUAGUUGAGUUGAUCAGUGGAAACAGUGCCAACUGGAGUAGAUACUGAUGAAUCAAGGAAAUGUGUGAGAGAAAAGACAAAGCAUAGAAAACGCCAGAGGUUAGCUAUAUUGAAUUUGGGGACAAUGAGAUCAGGGCUCUCCUGUUGACCGAAAGCCUUACCUCUUGGGUUCAUUGGAGCAGGAUUUGCAAAAACAAACUGCAGAAAAGCCUUUUCUUUAGCCAGAAUUCUUAGUAGGCAGUCAUGUGGGGGUAAUGGCUCCCUUGUCUGCUCCCACUCCCUCCUCGCAUUCAGCCCCUCUGACUUCUGCCUGAACGGACAGAAGAACUGUUGCUGGAGCUCGGUGAAGUCAGUGGGGUCGGGGAGAGGGAGCCUCGCUCGUAGUGGCACCUCUGUUCUGACAAAGGCCCUGGUGUCUUACCUUUCCCUGCAUGGAAAGAGGCAGGAAGGGAGCUGGGAGUGAUUGAUGUCAGGCACUGCGCUAGGUGAUUUCUCCUUCAACAGCUAACUUAACUCUUAAAAUGCCCCCAUGAGGUAGGAAUUAUCAACCCCACUUUCACAGAAUAAGGAGCCGAGGAGAAUAAUCUACACGAUAUUAAGCCUCAGGAAGGUUGAGGACGUUGCAGUAACUUCAUAGCUACUCUGCGGUGCACUGGAGAUUUGUUUCCACAUCGGCCCCACUGUGGGAGCUGACUCCUCAGUGGCUUUGGAACCCUAUUGUCCAAGGUCCAAUGUCCUAAAUUAUGACAGUCAGGUACUCGGUGAUAAACGACAUCCAGGUCUCGCAGGACGAAGGAGAGGGAAGGAGAGACCUUGAUUCUGUCUGCCUCAGCUCACUAGCAUGUUCUGGUGUGGAGCCUUCCAUUUUCAGCUGGCUGGCAUAUGUCAGCUCUGGGGACCACCUUGGGAGCCACAAGAUGGAAGGAGCCCAGGCACUUGAAUCACACCGAGGAGGAGAGCUGUCCAGCCACAAGUAUCAGCCUUGGACCGUUACAGAUCAAGAUAGAACCUUUGA